UGAGUCUGGAGAUGGAGCUUCUAAAGAUUUCUUUCUAAGCACCAUACAACACUUGCUGUAGACAGACACUGGUGGAAGAGUUGUUACAAACUGCUCUAGAUGGACGACGUUUUCUUUCUUACAUGAAGCUAAAAUGGAUUUAUUUUCUAUUAAAUGUCUCCCAGUGAUCCCUCUGGAACAGAAUUUGGGUAGCAGAGCAGAUCCAAGCUUAGGCUGAGGAGUGUUGUACAGCUGCCACCAAUUACUUUGACCAGUCUCAUCUGCGACCUUCACCCUUGCUCCUCCCACCCACUGGCCUGGGAACUGCAUUUAAGCCCUUGCCCUGCCCCUUACUUGGCUUAUGCUGUGUGUGCUUGUUCUGACCUGCUUGGCUUUACUUCUUUGGUGACAUCAGAGCUGUGUUGGAACUAUAGGUUUCUCUGUUGGAUGAGAAAAGAUCCCAUCGUGGAACUCACUCUCCCCUUCCUGUUUAGGUGCAGUGGGACUGUGCCCCUUUUCCAAGGUUCCUGUCUCAACCUGCCCUGUUAUCUGGCUUCCACCUCACCUUCCUUCCUGGCAAUGUCCAUCCUUACUUGCUUCCUGACAAGGAUUUUCCCGAGCCCUUGAAACUGCUCCAUUACCUGUAAGAGGCCAAAAUAAAACUACCUUCCAGCAUCUGCAAGGACUCUCCUGGCAGUCUCUGAGAACCAAGGAAAAACAGGAGACCAGCUGGUAGCAUUUUCUCUAAGCAAGGCAACAUCCCUGAGGUACACUCAGGUGAGAGUACUUCAGGGAAUUCCCACUGGGAGUAUCUUUUAUGAAGCUGGUGAAGAAGUUCCUCGCAGUUCAGGGGCCCACAUGAGCAGGAUGUUGGCAGAUGAUGUAGGAUAGGAACACCAUAGGGGACAGAAGACGCUCCUACUGCUUCCAAGCACUGCACUGCCCUGUGAGCUGACUCAGUUAGGUGGAGCACCAGGUCUUCAGCCAGGCCCAGAAAACCACCAGCAGCUGAAAGCAGCAGGUUGUGUGGAGCUGCAGCAGGUUGUGUGGUGCAGAUAGCAGGUGGUUCCUGGCUGCGGCCGGUCAUGCACUUGCACCAGUGCACUGGCACACCCAGCCUGGCUCCACUGAGCCAGGGGUGUCACUGAGCCUGUGGAGCAAAUUCCUGCUAAUGAGACUGCAGAUCAUCUUGUAGUCAUCCCUGUUACAAGCAGCAAGACACUGUCUCAGCCUCCUGAUGUCAACCUCUGCUAGGGUUUUGUAUUAAGAGAACACAGGCCCAAUUUCUCAUCCCCAUUAUAACUUCAGUGACGUAAGAGUAGAGGAAAAAAGACAUUAAAUACUCUGCAUCAAGGCAUGCUGGGUCUUUUUCCAAAUAAAAUGGAGGAGAAUCCCUCAGUAGGGUGUAGUCCCACACAAGAAGUUUUACUAUCAGGUUCCCUCACUGGGAGGAAGGCUAUGAGGAUAAGCAUCUUCCUGCUGCUCCACACACCCACAACUAUCUUGUGGCCAUCAGUCAUGCUCAGCAGGGAUGUGGGCAUGGGGAAAGAAGGCUGGUCGCUGCCAAAGGCUUCCUGGGCAGCUGUGUGCUUGGAGGAGCACUGCUGGAAGACACCUCUGACUGCAGCUCUCCUCUCCCUGCAAGACAGUUGUGGUCCCUGAGGACCAUCCUUGUGUGCUGGGCCUAGGAGUAGGCUCACUUGCACCAAAUGACCACUCAUGUGUCCUCACAGUCAGUACAUCAAACAGAAAGGCAGCUGGGAGACCCAGACUAUUGCAGUACCACAGGCUAGUGUUUACCCUCAUUUGCAUGGAUGUAAACAACCUGCUUGGAAGCAAGCAAGGAUACCUGAUUUUGGCUACUGCCAGCGUGAGGGGGACGCUGCAUGGGGGGUACAGAGCUACCAGGAGAAGCUACAGCGAAAUCAACCCACUCUUC